rnacentral:rRNA from 1 species
UACGUAGGUGGCAAGCGUUGUUCGGAAUUAUUGGGCGUAAAGCGUCUGUAGGUGGCUUUUUAAGUCCGCCGUCAAAUCCCAGGGCUCAACUCUGGACAGGCGGUGGAAACUACCAAGCUCGAGUACGGUAGGGGCAGAGGGAAUUUCCGGUGGAGCGGUGAAAUGCGUAGAGAUCGGAAAGAACACCAACGGCGAAAGCACUCUGCUGGGCCGACACUGACACUGAGAGACGAAAGCUAGGGGAGCGAAUGGG